UACGUAGGGUGCAAGCGUUGUCCGGAAUUAUUGGGCGUAAAGAGCUUGUAGGCGGUUUGUCGCGUCUGCUGUGAAAUUUCGGGGCUCAACCCCGAACUUGCAGUGGGUACGGGCAGACUAGAGUGUGGUAGGGGAGACUGGAAUUCCUGGUGUAGCGGUGAAAUGCGCAGAUAUCAGGAGGAACACCGAUGGCGAAGGCAGGUCUCUGGGCCAACACUGACGCUGAGGAGCGAAAGCCAGGGGAGCAAACGGG
rnacentral:rRNA from 1 species